rnacentral:rRNA from 1 species
CCUUUAGAGAUAGAGGAGUGCUCGAAAGAGAGCCGUAACACAGGUGCUGCAUGGCUGUCGUCAGCUCGUGUCGUGGGAUGUUGGUUAAGUCCCGCAACGAGCGCAACCCUUUGUCAUUUAGUUGCUACAUUCAGUUGGGCACUCUAAUGAGACUGCCGGUGACAAACCGGAGGAAGGUGGGGAUGACGUCAAGUCCUCAUGGCCCUUAUAGGUGGGGCUACACACGUCAUACAAUGGAUGGUACAAAGGGUCGCCAACCCGCGAGGGGGAGCCAAUCCCAUAAAGCCAUUCGUAGUCCGGAUCGCAGUCUGCAACUCGACUGCGUGAAGUCGGAAUCGCUAGUAAUCGUGGAUCAGAAUGUCACGGUGAAUACGUUCCCGGGUCUU